GCAUAUGAACUAUAUGAGAGAGUUACACUCAAAUCUUCAUGCUUCACAACAACAACUCAUAAGCUACAACUAAUCAAACGAAUGCAUGGAUGCAACUAACGACCUAACAACACAAUGCAUGUCUAACCUAUCAUCACCCCUAGAUGAAUAUGUUCACCACCACAAGACAUGCAAUGCACAAAUACAACUAAUUCAUGCAAGAAAGUAAACACUCAAGUAUGGGGACUACCAAUCUCCCACACACACACACACAAACA
rnacentral:lncRNA from 1 species